rnacentral:rRNA from 1 species
CCUUUGUACACACCGCCCGUCGCUACUACCGAUUGAAUGGCUUAGUGAGGCCUCCGGAUUGGCUUCGAGGAGCCGGAAACGGCACCUUGUUGCUGAGAAGCUGGUCAAACUUGGUCAUUUAGAGG